GAGGCCAGGGCUUGAACCUGCAACCUCAUGGUUCCUAGUUGGAUUCAUUUCUGCGGCGCCACAAUGGAAACUCCUCUUUCCACUCCUUACAGUCUCAGCGUCUGUGUAAAGCUUCCUCAUGGCAGAGUAUUCAGUGACUAUCUCUAGCACAGUAUUGAUCAUAAUCUAUCAAAGUUAGAUUUUAUUUCAUCCACCCUCCACCCUGUGGCUCGAGCUGGUCUCCUUAACUCUCGGUAGAGUUCCGGUAAUGGUUAUGUAAGCAGAUGAAUCAGAGACAACACAGAGCAAAGUGUUUUCCUUAUAAGUUACACAGUUUUAUGUGUGAUCCUAAGGUGAUGGGUACUGGGGUAGGAGAAAAGCUACAAAGAACACUUUCGGGAACAUUGAUAAAAUUUUAAUAUGGACUGUUAGUAUUAUAUCAAUGUAAAAUGUCAUGGAUUUUAGUAGUUUUGUAGCCAUGGAAGAGAAUAACCCUGUUUUAAAGAAAAACCCAGUGACAUAACGUCCAAUAAUAAAGUGCUGUGAUGUCUCCGUCUCCAACAUACUUUGAAAUGUUCAUAAAAAUUAUAUAGAUGUACCGAUAGAGAAGUUGUUGCUUUUGCUAUUGGGAAUUUUAUCCUAUCUGGGGUCAUAUAGUUGCCUAUAAUGUUUUCUUUUGUCUUUAAUGUCCCUGAGGACAUGAACCCUUUUGGGAUGUUUCCAUAUUGCCUAGUUUUCUCUGAUGUAAGAUGUUAACAGAUUUGUUGAGAACCCACUCAUAGCAGAGAAAUCUUGUUUGGCUGAGUGGGUGAGCAGCAGUUUGGUGUAGUGAAAAGAACAGGGACUGGGAGCCAGAAGAUCCAGGUCCUCAACCCUUCUCUUCACUAAGACGUUGCAUGACUGUGGGCACAUCACUCACCUCCUCCUGGCACUGUCAUAGUUUAUAAAAGGAAGAUUGGGCUCUGUAGCUUUUAAGAUUUUGCUAGUCUUAAAGCUCUGGGCUUAAAUGAGCAGUGCAGAAAGAUAAUAGCAGAAUACUCAUGUGUAACACACAGUAUGUGAAGAAACCGAAAGGAAAUCAAAACAUAGGUAAUUAGCCAGAGCCGACAGGUGCACAUGGCCUUCUGGUGCUGCCCAAGAUGACAGAGACAUCUCUUCAAGGAGAAGGCACUGGAACCAGUCCAUGGGAGUCUUAAGUGAUCACAGAGCACAAGAAAGAAAAACAGUGAUGGGAAGGGAGAGAAAGUGUUCGUCAAAAAUAGAUUAGACUUUCCUGUAUUUAUACAGAGGCUACUAUAAGUCAUUAUAAUGAAUAGCUUCAGGGUCUGUAUGUAUAUAUAUGUAUUGAUGUGCAAAAGAAUGUUUUGCAUAAACAGCCAGACAAUAAAACAAAUUACAUAAGGUUUUGUACUGUGUCAUACUGUUUUAAAGUCCUGUGUAAAGAAGAUCAAUGUCUAUGAAGGAGAAUAAUAAUAAAUACCAAAGUUUAGACAAUAGUGACUUCAGGAAGAAGAGAUCAUAAGCAAAAGGGGAGAGGGGUAAUUCCGGAGAUCAGUAGAUAAGAAGCGACAACUUAAGAAUAAUUGCUUAAGAUAAAUUUGGAACACCUUACACAAAUCUAAGAUUGGAUAGUAAUGGUAAGUGGAGACAAAAUGGCUUUUCUUACAUUAUUCAUCGUAACCUUUUCAGGGUUCUGAAUAUUUUAUAAUGAAACACCACAUCUGAAAACAAGGGCAUGUAGAAAAGUGGAGGGUGAAAGUGUUAAGAAUAAAAACUUUGGAGAAAAGUACUUAAGAAAAAGAGUGAUUAGAAAGUAAAACUAUACAUAAUAUGAGAAGUGCUUUUGUGCAUUUGGUCAAAUAGCCAUGAAUGUAGAAUAGAGAGUCACUCUUUUGUGUUUUGAAGGCAAAGUGCCUUCUGUGUCUUCAGAAAGAAUUGAGCUGCAUAUUUCUGGCCCAUGCUGCAUGUCUGACUUCAGCCAUCUAGAUUUUAGAGUAUAAAUCAAGCUUUCUUUUCCCCAUGCUUCUUUGCUUAAGUUUCAUAAAAAGAUAUGGCUUUAUUGGGGAUAUGGGUUUUUCCUCUUUGGGGAACAGGAGCAAAUGUGUUACGUGGCCAUUGUUUCUGACAGUUCAUUUAUGCAGAUGAAACAAUCCAUUCAUUUGGUGAGUCCAUGGAAUCAAUGGCUUCCACUUUGUACUUCUUGAAAAAUAUACAGCAUUUCAGGGCCCUGGAUUUACAUUCCACAGACUUUCUGUUAUAAUGGAAUAGUUCUGGGUCCCUUGAGGGCAGGCCUAUAGCUCUGCAAGAGUGUUGAUGGCUUUCCUGUGACAUGGGCAUGUGUGUUUCUAAAUGUUCGCACUUGGAACAGUUCUUUUAAAAGUUCCUUGACAUAUAACGUGGGAAGAAGUGCUUCUUAGGGACUGUUUAUGAGAAAAGUUGCCUGUAGACUUAGCUUUGAGGGCGAAAAUGUGGCCAGCUCAUCAUCUUCUUUAGGCAACAAUGCUUCUAAAUGGAGAGUGAGGAGCAUUUUUAAAAGCAGUUUGACUUAAACCUUUUUUCAGGGGGAACAGACAUCUCAAAAACUCUGUUUUCUCCUUUUAUGUCCAAUUGGGUAGUUUUGGAAAUGAGUAUUUCUGGUCUGCUGGGAAUUAACAGAAAAUAAUCAUAAAUGGGGUGAGAGAGAUUUUUAUUGGUUAGCCACGUUCUGACAUUGCUCUCCCAAAAUAAGAUAAUUCCCUAUUUUAUGUAAUUCUGAUGUUAUGGUUGGGUCUUUCCUACGUGCCGAUAAUUUCACUUCCUGCCAGGUCUCUAGUUGGCAGCUGUGGGCAGCUUGGCUGCUUUGCGCAUGAGUAAACAAUUAGUGACAGAUCUGUGGCAUUUUUAGAUAAACACUUAAUAUCAAGGUCAUGACCUUGAAAGAUAUUUGCAUGUACAUAGAAGACGACCUUGAAUACCAGGAUUAACAUUUUGAUUUUGCUAAAAUGAUUGCUUAAUAUAUAUGGUAAAGAUAGUGCUUUCGGCUCCAGUCUGCUUACAGUUUCACAGCCGAGAAUAUUAGGCAAGCCCGUCAGUUGAUUGAAGGAGAUACACUCCAUUCCUUCUCCUGGAGCCUUGAUAAGAUGCCGGGAUUCCGCAUCCUUGGAGAUGACUGGCUUGAACAAGGAUUGUGGAGAAGAAAUAAAAGAUCCGAAUUAAUUGACAUAGAAGGAGGUGGCACAGAGAGGUUCUUGACCACCCUGGAAGGGGCAAGGGGGAUAAAGAGAUUCGUCCUCUGUUGAAUUAUUUACUCUUUGCUGUGUUCCUGAAGGAAAGUGGCUUUAUAGCCUUUAUCUUAUAAUGCCUCUUUAAUAGUCAGUUCUCUACUGGCUCUCUGCUCUGCUACGAAGCAGAGAGUAAGCCUCGGGAAACAGUGCCCAGUGCGUUCAAUGACUGACUGCUGAGUCGGAUGGUUGGAGCACUUCGGCAGAGCUCUCCAGGGAGCACCACCCAUGUGAAUCACUGGAGAGCCUCAGGAGCUCAGAGAGCCCUCUUGUCUCCUGACACUGCUCUCAUUUACCUGUGGGAUCAAUCUCAGGCUGCUGUGUCCCUUAACAUUAUUGCUUUUUUAACAUUGUUAUAAGCAUGGUUGCUUUUUUAACAUUGUUGUAAGCAUGGCAUAGUGGUUUGUGUAUGAAUUUAGAAGUCUACUUGUUUAGUUCAAAUCAGUUCCAUAGCCUCCUAUCAUGGGAGAUACAGAAACUUAUUUUACCUCUAUGACUUUCUUCACCAGUGGAAGGGGGACGACAGUGACAUUAAGCUCCUUGUGUUUCAGUGGGAACGACCUCUGCCGAAAGUAACAGGAAACCCCGUGUCACACCGACAUGCCUAGUCACGAAAUCCGUCUCACUUAAGCGGAAGUCAGAAGAUAGUUUAGUUCAGGCGAAGUGGGACCAGUGGCUCAAGAGUACCCUUCAGGGCUCAACUGCUUUCUGCUUCUCCCCUUGGUCACUUCAUGGUGGCAGUGUGGUUGCAUUCACCCCAGAUGUCAUACCCAACAAUGGGAAAGAAUAUGUGGUAUAUAUACACAAUGGAAUACUAUUCAGCCAUAAGAAAGAAUGACAUAAUGCCAUUUGCAGCAACAUGGAUGAACUAGAGAAUCUCAUACUGUGUGUAUCCUUUUUUAGGAGUAAGAAAAUCUUUCCUGAAAGCCCCUCUCCAGAUUUCCUUUCACAUCUUACUGGCUAGGAUUUGGUCACAUGCCCAUGCCUAGAUCAGCACUGACAAGAGGAAUGAUCUUGCAAAUGGUCAAGACAAUCACUUAGCAUAGAUUUCACAGAGCCACCUCUGUGACUGCCACCCAAAGGAUUUCGUUAGUGAUUCAGUGAGAUACUGCACAUGAAACACGUCAUACAACCCCAGGCACAAAAUAAACCGUCAGUGAAUCAUUAUCUAUUAUUAGCUAUUUGGUCAAGUUACAAAUUUAUACUAAUGUGAAAUUACGGAUGCUACCUGAUAUGUUUCUUUAGGAACAUUUUUGUUCUAAUGAGCCAGAAGGCUUUAAAUGAAAAUAAUAUUUAAUGGUGGGUUUGCAGACAUCGAUAAGAUGAAUUAGGCAUCUAUUUUGUGGGCUUGGGGUACUUUUAUAGAAAUCCAUACAUCUGUUUAAUGAGGAGAGUUAUAUCCUUAGAGUUUCAACCACUGUUGGGACUGAGAAGUUAAUGAAACUACUGGAAAGAAUAAAAAUGAGAGCAGAACAAAAUUUCUUAACCACAGCUUGUCCGUAACCCACCCCUUCUCUUGCUUUUAGCUUCAUGAAUUACCUCAUCUCCAUGGUUAUUGCAGUCCACUCUGAAGACCUUAGAAGCUCUUCUUUAUUCCCGGCAGCCCUCACGUUGUCCCUGAUGCAACCUCUCAGUUCAUAACAACACUAGGUAGAGCCCACUUAGCGCCAGGCAGUAGGGGAGGUAUUCCUGCAAAUAAUCUCUGUUGUUCUCGCCUUGUCUCCAACUCCCUCAGAAUUCUAACCACAUAAUGGAGACGGAGAAGGAGAAGGAAUAGGCCUGAGGGUUUAAGAUUCGUUGGUAUAGACUGAAGCAGGAAUGUAAGCGAGCUCCCUCAUGAAUAAUUCUUGAGGGGCUCGAAGGUGGGAAAAAAAAAAAAAAAAAGAUAUGCUCAUUAGACUCAGGAGGCAUCUUGAGUUUUCCCUCCCAACUCUGCCUUUUAUUUGUUAAGAAGUUCCGAAUAGGGAAGAGGUUAUAACUCGACUUCAGGGUUUAAGUAAGGGUCCUAAUUUGCUUGCAAACUUGAAGGUACUUUGUAGUUAUUUUUCUACAUUUUCUUAUGUAAUGGCUGUGCAGGGUUGGUUGGGGCAAGCCUUGUAGCUUUUUUGCUUGACCUCCCUCCACUCAAGAUCACGGCGAAUAAAUAACAAGGGGAAUUUCUCAGGCUUAGUGAUGGGAGAUUUGGUUGAAAGGGGCAGUGCAGGUGCUUCUAAAACCCUUCCCUCAGAUGUGCCAGGACUCUGGCGCCUACAAGAUUGGUUUGGGACUCUUACAAGACCAGCCAUUCUCUGGGAAGUUUCCAAGAACUUCCUGUUACUAGUCAGGCAAAAAGAGAGAGAUGAAGAAUAAAGUAAACACAACUUCAUUUCUUUUGGGGAGUUCAGCAUAAUUUUUGUGGUUCAGGACAGAUUCAGAAAAUGCCAAGCUUGCAAUAAAUGUCACCUUUUUGGUAGCACUGUGGGUAGACAGAUGGUUAGUGGUCCCGCUGAUGGUGGUGAUGGUAUUGCGGGGGUGGUGUGGAGAAAAUCAGCAGAAUUUUUCAGAAUACUUUCAAUAGCUAUUCCUUGACAUCAGCAAACUCCUAUUGAUUCUAAAUGUCAUUAGUGUGUCUCUUUAUGGCCAUAAUUUUAGUUGCAUAAUCAUGUAUUAAUACUCUUUCUAAUAUGUAAAUAGUAUUUAUUUAAUAAAAUAAAUAUAUCCAAUAAAUAUUCAUGGGAUUCUGCUUUUAGUGCCUUCUUUGGGACCUUAAAAGGAGGAAAAAAAAAAGAUAGAAAAGGAGGAUCUUUCUGUUAUUACAAAGUGUCUUAAAAGGCUUAUCUUUUUUUUUCCCCCCACAAAGGAAAGGAAUAUUGUUAAGCAUCUUGGUUGAGCCUACAGCUCAGGAAGCAGUUAUCCCUCUUUUUUGACAGCCUUUUUCAAGACAUACUGCCUUUCAGAAAUGAAUGCUUUGUUUGCCUCCCUUCCUAACCGCAGCACUGCAUUUCACGACUCACACGAGUACUUAACGUAGAGGAGUCUCAUUGUAUUUCAGUGUAAGAAAAAAAAGAAACAAAAAAA
rnacentral:lncRNA from 1 species